rnacentral:rRNA from 1 species
UAUUGCACAAUGGGCGCAAGCCUGAUGCAGCCAUGCCGCGUGUGUGAAGAAGGCCUUCGGGUUGUAAAGCACUUUCAGUUGUGAGGAAGGUGGUGUCGUUAAUAGCGGCAUCAUUUGACGUUAGCAACAGAAGAAGCACCGGCUAACUCCGUGCCAGCAGCCGCGGUAAUACGGAGGGUGCGAGCGUUAAUCGGAAUUACUGGGCGUAAAGCGCAUGCAGGUGGUUUGUUAAGUCAGAUGUGAAAGCCCGGGGCUCAACCUCGGAACUGCAUUUGAAACUGGCAGACUAGAGUACUGUAGAGGGGGUAGAAUUUCAGGUGUAGCGGUGAAAUGCGUAGAGAUCUGAAGGAAUACCGGUGGCGAAGGCGGCCCCCUGGACAGAUACUGACACUCAGAUGCGAAAGCGUGGGGAGCAAACAGGAUUAGAUACCCUGGUAG